rnacentral:rRNA from 1 species
AAUGGGCGAAGGCCUGACGGAGCAACGCCGCGUGAGGGAUGAAGGCCUCUGGGCUGUAAACCUCUUUUAUCAAGGAAGAAGAUCUGACGGUACUUGAUGAAUAAGCCACGGCUAAUUCCGUGCCAGCAGCCGCGGUAAUACGGGAGUGGCAAGCGUUAUCCGGAAUUAUUGGGCGUAAAGCGUCCGCAGGCGGCCCCUCAAGUCUGCUGUUAAAAAGUGGAGCUUAACUCCAUCAUGGCAGUGGAAACUGUUGGGCUUGAGUGUGGUAGGGGCAGAGGGAAUUCCCGGUGUAGCGGUGAAAUGCGUAGAUAUCGGGAAGAACACCAGUGGCGAAGGCGCUCUGCUGGGCCAUCACUGACGCUCAUGGACGAAAGCCAGGGGAGCGAAAGGGAUU